AUGCACCUCGCCUCUCUCAUCCUCACCCUCUUCCUGGGACAGCUCCUGGGCACCACAGGGCAGAUCACGGUCACCCAGGACGAUGGACAAGUCAUGGUGAAGAAGGGACACCCCUUCCAGACCACCUGCAAAUACCAGACCAGUUAUUUUAAUGCCUUGCUCUGGUACCAGCUGCGGAAAGGCCAAGCCCCACAGCUGCUCUCCUAUCAAGCAGGCUCUGGCCCCAAGCACAGUGGCCGGAUCACCACGCACCUCAACACCACGGGGAAAUACAGUGUCCUGAAGCACAGAGCAGCAGCGUCCCAGGCUCAGAAGGAGCCCGAGUGCAGCUGA